rnacentral:rRNA from 1 species
CGGACGGGCCCCGCACAAGCAGCGGAGCGUGUGGUUUAAUUCGAUGCUACGCGAAGAACCUUACCCGGGUUUGACAUACAGGUAGUAGGGAACUGAAAGGGGACCGACCUUCGGGGAGCCUGAACAGGUGCUGCAUGGCUGUCGUCAGCUCGUGUCGUGAGAUGUCCGGUUAAGUCCGGUAACGAGCGCAACCCUUGCCGUAUGUUACAAGUGUCAUACGGGACUGCCGGUAUCAAGCCGGAGGAAGGUGGGGAUGACGUCAAGUCAGCAUGGCCUUUAUAUCCGGGGCUACACACACGCUACAAUGGUCAGUACAAUAGGUUGCAAAGCCGCGAGGUGGAGCCAAUCCAUAAAGCUGGCCUCAGUUCAGAUUGCAGGCUGCAACUCGCCUGCAUGAAGUUGGAGUUGCUAGUAACCGCGCGUCAGCCAUAGUGCGGUGAAUACGUUCCCGGGCCUU